CUCCUGGCUCGAUACUGACGCUGAGGUGCGAAAGCGUGGGGAUCAAACAGGAUUAGAUACCCUGGUAGUCCACGCCGUAAACGAUGUCUACUAGCCGUUGGGAGACUUGAUUUCUUAGUGGCGCAGCUAACGCAAUAAGUAGACCGCCUGGGGAGUACGGCCGCAAGGUUAAAACUCAAAUGAAUUGACGGGGGCCCGCACAAGCGGUGGAGCAUGUGGUUUAAUUCGAUGCAACGCGAAGAACCUUACCAGGUCUUGACAUCCUGCGAAUUUUCUAGAGAUAGAUUAGUGCCUUCGGGAACGCAGUGACAGGUGCUGCAUGGCUGUCGUCAGCUCGUGUCGUGAGAUGUUGGGUUAAGUCCCGUAACGAGCGCAACCCUUGUCCUUAGUUGCCAGCACAUAAUGGUGGGAACUCUAAGGAGACUGCCGGUGACAAACCGGAGGAAGGUGGGGACGACGUCAAGUCAUCAUGGCCCUUACGACCUGGGCUACACACGUGCUACAAUGGAACGCACAGAGGGCUGCAAAGGCGCGAGCUGGAGCGAAUCCCACAAAACGUUUCGUAGUCCGGAUUGGAGUCUGCAACUCGACUCCAUGAAGUCGGAAUCGCUAGUAAUCGUAGAUCAGAAUGCUACGGUGAAUACGUUCCCGGGUCUUGUACACACCGCCCGUCAUACCAUGGGAGUGGGUUGCACCAGAAGUGGCUAGUCUAACUUUAUUGAGGACGGUCACCACGGUGUGAUUCAUGACUGGGGUAAAGUCGUAACAAGGUAGCCGUA
rnacentral:rRNA from 1 species